AGAAGUUUAGGUUAAACCAGACCAAGAGCCUUCAAAGCCCUAAGCAAGUAUCAUCCACUUAACUUCUG
rnacentral:tRNA from 1 species